GAACUUGCUUAGCGAUAAGUAACUGAACUAAGAGAAGUCAGCAGAUGUCAUAGUACCAAUCCUCAGGAUUGGGAAGGAC
rfam:Bacillus circulans strain RIT379 contig55, whole genome shotgun sequence.